ensembl:lncRNA
AAAAAUGUUUAGUUUACGCUUAAUUAUCAAAUUAUUUUAUUUUAGUUUAUUUCAUUUUAUUUUCAAUUAACAAAAUUGUUUUUAAUAGUUUUAGUUUUAGUUAACAAUAAUAAUCCUGAAUGUCAUGUAAAAUAGUUAAACAAUAUGGAAAUAUGAUAUGAAAGGUAUGGUGGGGACGUUUUUCAGUGAAUAAUAACUUUUAGCUUCAGAAAUGUUGAAAUACAGAACACGGUUCUUAUGGACUACUUUUUUUGUGCAUUCAUUGUUUUUUUUGGGAGCUUGACAGGCCAUACUCACUAUAUGUUACACAGCCAAAUUCAAAAUGUGAUUUGCCUUCUACAGAAAUCAGUCAGUUGUGCAAUUUUGGGACAAAAAGAGAGAAUAAUCCGCUGAAUGGUAGAAAAAAGGCAGUUGUCCUGAUGUAUUUAAGCCACAUUAGGUUAGGGAAGAAACAUUCUCAGUUUAGCAUUAUGAGGGACAUUUAUUAGAAUACAGAACAGGAUAGAAGCAGAAUUAAUCAGAACAAUAUUUUUCUCAAAGGUACCCUGUUCAGUAAAUGCUACAAUAACUCAUUCUGAAGAUGGAGAGGAAAGAGGAGUGUUUGUGAGGCGCAUGUGAACUGGGACCGUGGCGCUAAUAUUCAACCCAGCUAGAUCAGGCCACAAGGUCUGCAUGUGCAAAGAGCUUCUGUUAGUAUUUCUGACUUUAAUCUUUGCUCUGUUUCAGCACCCCUGCAGUGUUUCUCCUGUGCAUUUCGCUUCCCCUCAUAACCUAACGGCCUUCUGCUGUGGUACAGGAACUGUCUCCAGGAUGCACUGCUCCCAGAAUUCUCCAUGUCAAAUGUGGUCACUUUUGAUGUCAAGAAGCCCUCCUGACUCUGAACAUGUUCCCGUACUAUCACUCAGCAGUGAGAUCAAAAGAGCGUGCGCUGGUCAUGAUGAAUGUAGGAGUGCUGCAGACUCUAAUCCUGUCCAGCCUCUCUGUCCCCACAAAUACCCUACACUGAAGGAGGAAGAAAAGCACAGGAGAUGGAGAAAGUGGAAACAGGCCUGCUUUCCCAGACUGUGGUGAUAGACUUAUCUGCUACGGGACGGUCGGGCAGGCCUGGCCCAGCUUAUAGGUUCUCAUCAGGAGCGGCCAGCCAAUAAAAGAUAAGUCUGAGAGGAGCCAGCCAAUAAAAGAUAAGACUAAGAGUAUAUCUGUGACGGACUUAGGGGAGAGUAGACUAAUGUUCUCGCUGCAGAUAUUAAUUAUGUCACAAAUACUCUUGUGCCACUAGUUUCGCCAAACAGACUUAUCUCAGAUCCCAUAUAUACCUUCUUCCUUUUCCUAAAAUACAGCUGGGAACCAAGAAGUGCUUCAAAAUAUUUUGUGAUGCAGAAAAAUAUAUUUAUAUAAAAAAAAUCAAUACUGUGUAUGUAUAUAUAUAUAUUAAAUAAAUAUAUUAUAAAAAAUUAUUUUUUCUGUCAAGCUAUUGGUCUGUGGCAAUUGAUAUUGUUAUUAGUAUUCAAUUUUACAGUGACGUUGAAACCACCCUGCUGGUUUAAGGUGGUUUAACAUCUUCAACCAGCCUUAACUGGUUUCAACCAGCAAAUCAUAUUAAGUUGGUUGAAAUGUGUUUUUUUAGAUUUAAGAUCUAUAACUGUUACAGCAGAAACCAUCUAGUCCGGUUCACACACAAAUGACUCCUAUGAACAGAUUCUUUUUUUUGUGAAUUAAACUCUUAUUGCUUACAACUGUGAGACCUAAAUGGAUGGUCUAACCAAAAAUAAAAAUUCUGUUGUAAUUGACUCACCUUCAUGUUGUUCUAUGAUAUAUGGCUGUGAUGUAUGGCAUUUUUUCUCCCCUGCAUAUCAUGUGCAGGGCUCCAUAGGUUCCCAUUGCCUUCCAUUAUAUGGACAAAAAUACCAUGGAAGUCAAAGAGGAUUAAAACCGUUUGUUUACUUAGAUUCUUCAAAAUAUCUUCUUUCAUAUUCCACAGAAGAAAGAAAGUUUUGCCACGACAUAAGGGUGAGUAACUACUUUAUGGAUGAACUUUCCCUUUAAAUUUAUGUAAUUAUUAAAUGUUAUUCACGUGAAAACAGGUUUUGUCAGUAGUAUUUUAUAAAAAUAAAUGAAUUAAAUGUUACAACAUUUUUGUUUGACAUAAAUUUUUUAUAUAAUUUUUUAAAAGGUAAUUGUGACUUUUUUACUCGCAAGUCAGACUUUUUUCUCACAAAUCUGAGUUCAUGUCUCACAAUUUGGACUUUUUUUUCUCUAAAUUUGAAAUUGACAUAUUGCAAUCCUGUUUUUUCUGCCACAGAAAAAAAGGCAAUUGUGAGUUAAAAAGCAGAAGAUUGUGAGACACAAACUAGCAAUUCUGAAAAAAGAAAAAAAAAAUUGCGAAAAAAAGAAAAGGAAAAAGUGAAAACUGUUAGAUAAAAAGUCGCAAAACCCUUUUUAUUUUUUUACUCAGUGGUGGAAACAAGCUUCCAUAAUUACUGAUUUGCAUACAUAUAUGCCGCCUCUAAAAAAAACCCAGUGAAAAGUUAAUGAAAAGUUAGUUUAAGUGAUGAAUAUAUGAUAAAAAUAAUAAACAUAGCAGUAUAGUUUAGUUCCAUAAAAUGCACUGCUCUGUUAAUCAAUCAUUUUUGUGAUAUUUUUCUUUAACAUUUCUGUCAAAUUGUGUUGGGAUGAUACAGUCUUGUCACGUCCCCAGGGCAGGACUCCCUCUAUUCAACAUAUGCACUGGGAAUAGUUAUAUCAGGUCACGGAGAGUCAAUCCUGUUACUGAUGAAAAUGUAGCUCUUAUUGAUCCCGCAGAAUUUUAUUGAUUUUAGUCUUUUCUUGUUUUGUCUUCCCCUCCUGCAUGUUCUUCUCUUACCUUUUCCAAUUUUUCCAUUCUCCUGUCAUUCUCUCUAUUGUCUACCUGUUGUCUGCUCAUUCGGUCUCUCUCUCUCUUUUUCUCUUUUUAUUUUCCUGUAUGGAUUCCUCAGUCAAUUUGUUUACCGACCACUGUAACUACAUCCAUUAGUCUGACCCUAAGAGCUUGAGGACAGGCCUGUGACAGCCAUCCGACUAAUGCAGCUCUGACACAAUAAUUACACAAUGACCUAAAGAAAGGGCCCUGCUGUCCCGUUGUAUGCGCAGAAAGCAAACCUGGUUACCGCAGCGUCUAAGGUUUUGACCACCGCCACCCCCAUAAGCCAGCAGCUUCAACAAAGCCACCCGGAGACGCAUGUGUUUGCGUGACAAAGGAGAAAUGAGGCUGAAUGAUGAUCACUUCUUCUUGUUUUACUAAAAAGAUUGAUCAGAUGACCUUAUUAGUGUUACUCAAAGUUUUCAAAGUUGUUUCCUCUGUCAUUGUAUUGUUUCUAAAAAUCUUUAAGUUUCAGUUCAGAUUAAACUAGGAUCAGCCGAAUUCAGGGACGCUGGAUUCAAGUCUAUUAUAAUGAAGGCCUUGUGUGUCAGUGAUUUUUAAUGUAGUAAAGAGAUGUUGUUAACCACAACCCAAAGCAAAAUUCCAAACAUACUGUACAUAAACUAUUUUCAACCGCAAAAAUAGGCACAGCAAUUGUAAUGUAUAUUGUUGAAUUCAAUUCAGUGCAAGUAUUUAAUUAAGAUUUUGCUAUUUGUUUAUUUAUUCAAAACAUUUACAGUUUCAAUUAUUAACCACACAAACGAGCCUAAAUUUAUUUAUUUUUUACUUGUGCAAAACCCUGCAUUCAUUUGUUUUAUUUUAUUGCUUUUAUAAAAAAUAUAAUGAAUAUGUUUUUAUAAAUUAGAUAUUUACAAAUGUUUAUUUAUAAAAUUUCAUUUUCUACUAUUAAUCACACAAACAAACAAGCCUUAUCAUUUUGUUAAAUUUGUGUUUUAUUAUGAACAAAACCCCAGGUUUUAUUUUAUUUUAUUUUGGCUUUCAUAAAAAGAAGGCAUCAGCAAUGUAAUAAAAAUACUAGUGCCCAUAAAAUAUUUACAUUUAUUAUUAAUAAAAAUCAAAAUAUAAUAAAACAUUUUUC